UGCCAGCCGCCGCGGUAACACGGGGGGCCCAAGGGUUAUUCGGAAUUAUUGGGCGUAAAGGGCGCGUAGGCGGUCUUAUCGGUCAGAUGUGAAAGCCCGGGGCUCAACCCCGGACGUGCAUUUGAAACAGAAAGACUUGAAUACUGGAGAGGAGAGCGGAAUUCCUGGUGUAGAGGUGAAAUUCGUAGAUAUCAGGAGGAACACCGAUGGCGAAGGCAGCUCUCUGGACAGAUAUUGACGCUGAGGCGCGAAGGCGUGGGUAGCGAACAGGAUUAGAUA
rnacentral:rRNA from 1 species